GUCACAAAGAAUUGGAAAAGAAUGCAAGUCCACCAGCCUAUAACCUGGCAUCCUAUUCCAUGGACCAUGUUUUUCUCCCAGUCUGAAAGAAACUCAGUUCCCAGUGAUCAGUGCCUGUGAACCUCAGAUCUUGUGCUGACAGAGAUGAGAGUCUGAAUGUUGCUCCACUUGCAGUCCUCGUGGCAUGGCCCUUGAUUCAUAAGCUGGGCUGAGGGUGCCGACCAAAUGCAACCAGUGACGUUGCAGCCUCUAACAUCCCAAGCAAAGCAUUUACCACUUUCUCCACCUUUCAGUAUGCAGCUUUCAUCUUUGUGGGAUGUCUUCCUCCCUGAAUCCUUAACUGUGAAGGACUAGCAGAUGGAAAGGCAAGAACUUGAGAACAACCUGAGUGAGACCAUAGGCAGACACAACCAGAAAUAUCCCGAGUUCCCUGGAGGAGAGGUGGCCGUACUUGUUUAUCACUUGCAACCCAGAAAGAGCGAAGCCUGCUUUCUGCAUGGUUUGGAGCAAGGAUAGAACUGGUCCCUGAGUGAAUAGCAAAUGGAGUUGAAACAUCCUGCUGCAAUGCAGGGUUUAUGGUCCUGCAGCCUGAAUAACUAUCAUCACAACAUGAAACAGGACUGAGAACGAGAGACCUGGCAGAGGAGGAAGAGGGCAGGUGUUGUCCUUGUUUGGGGGUAAAAAUGGGAUCAUAAUCCUCCCUCCUCAACCCCCUCACUGCUUUUCUCCUCAAUAGGUUUUAAAUGUGGAACAUGUAUUUGAUGCAGUUGCUAGCGCUGAGAAAUUAGCAAAAGUGGUUGAACGAGCAUGCUGUCCUGUUAGGUAUUAAUUUAAUUCACUUAGAAGAUUUUAAAGCAAAAUUCCUUAGGUUUUCAUCUUGAAUAAAGGUGACUCAGAUGAGAUCUUUACCCUUGGGCUGCAGAUUGCAAUUCAGGCUGCCAGCAUGCAGGGAACAUAAGAACUGAUUAUUCCUUCUACCUGGACAAUUAAGACUAAUGGGCAAGGGAAGAGCUGAAGCACCAUCCCAGAGCAAGGCUAGGAGCUGUAAUAGUUCCUUCCCCUUGAGUUAUUAACCCACAGGGUAGAUGCGCAGCUAACCCCUUGGUCAAGAUGGUAAUCUCAGACAGGAGAUGUCUUAUUAGCUACCUAUUUCUUCUGCUAUGACAGUAGAAGUCCUUAGUAAAUGGCACAGGUAUAAAAUAUGAAUAUAUGACAGGAAAAGUUAGGAUUUAAGUGUGCAGAACAAAAAGGAAGUGUUCUAGCUCACCUUGGAAAUUGGCACACACAUAAAAUAGUGACCAAGGGGAUGAACAAAUGAGUUGCUUCCACGGUUCUUGCAACUGAUUUUCCUAACGCAUUUGAAAACAAUUCUCUUUGACCUGUGAUGCACAAAUCUCACAGGACUGCCACAGAACUCAGUGCUGCCUCCAGAUCUUCUUGGUCUACUUUUGCUUCCUUUGCUGCUCUAUUCAGUAAUUUUUAAGAUAUCUGAGCAGGAAUCCUUGGCUCGGAGAUAUUUGGCAUGCUUUCUGAACCCCUUGAAACUAAAGUAAAAUACCUGACAACCUAGACUUGACUUGAACCUGCUAUUAGCCAGAAAAAACUUGGCUUAUGGUAAUAUAAAGGUGAAAAUGUGAACUGAGAGUAAUGGGUGAAAUCUUGCUCUCAGUUUCAUCUGCGUGACAUCCCUUCAUUCAUUGAAAAAGCCUAAAUGUACCUCGGGGUCAAACUUGUCUACUGUGAGGAAAGAAGAAGAGCAGGAAUGCUAAAGGCUCUUGGGAAUUAAUGAAGUUCUGGAAGGGAGAGUGAUGGAUGGGUGUUCAUUCUCUAGCUUGCUUGGGCUGAUGGCAGGCUACGAUCAGUUUUUAAGCUAGUCUACACCUCCUCCUUCAACAGACAUGAUAUGAUAAGCAUGUUAGCCAUACUCUGAUGCCUUACACACCAAACCCUUGAAGGAAUUUAGACAAGAGAACAUUUUUGUUUUCAGUUCUGGAUUUGACUUGAGCUUGAUCUCUGCAUAGACCUUAUCUGAUUUUUCUUGGAUGAUUCCUUCCAACUUUCUAGGAGACAUCCAUGAAUAGCCAGGUAGCUGACAUUAACCUUCCCUGAUCUGGAUGCCCUUUUGGGCUUUUGCAACAUGCCACAAAAAUGUGGCACAGAUCGCUA
rnacentral:lncRNA from 1 species